rnacentral:rRNA from 1 species
UGAAAAGUGAAUAGCAAGGCGUNAUCACCUCCUUACCUUAAAGAAGCGUACUUUGCAGUGCUCACACAGAUUGUCUGAUGAAAAGUGAAUAGCAAGGCGUCUUGCGAUUGAGACUUCAGUGUCCCCUUCGUCUAGAGGCCCAGGACACCGCCCUUUCACGGCGGUAACAGGGGUUCGAAUCCCCUAGGGGACGCNGUGUCCCCUUCGUCUAGAGGCCCAGGACACCGCCCUUUCACGGCGGUAACAGGGGUUCGAAUCCCCUAGGGGACGCCAAGGGGACGCCACUUGCUGGUUUGUGAGUGAAAGUCACCUGCCUUAAUAUCUCAAAACUGACUUACGAGUCACGUUUGAGAUAUUUGCUCUUUAAAAAUCUGGAUCAAGCUGAAAAUUGAAACACAGAACAACGAAAGUUGUUCGUGAGUCUCUCAAAUUAGUGUCCCCUUCGUCUAGAGGCCCAGGACACCGCCCUUUCACGGCGGUAACAGGGGUUCGAAUCCCCUAGGGGACGCCNUGUCCCCUUCGUCUAGAGGCCCAGGACACCGCCCUUUCACGGCGGUAACAGGGGUUCGAAUCCCCUAGGGGACGCCACUUGCUGGUUUGUGAGUGAAAGUCACCUGCCUUAAUAUCUCAAAACUGACUUACGAGUCACGUUUGNUGAGGGAAAGGCGAAAAGAACCCCGGCGAGGGGAGUGAAAAAGAACCUGAAACCGUGUACGUACAAGCAGUGGGAGCCCCACCACUAAGCCAGUGGUGAACUCCACAUACGCAUCCUUUGCUGAGGAUACGGUUAACGGAGCGAAAGCGACGUUCAACCUCAAAAGAAGCAGAGGGGGCUUAGUGGUGGGGUGACUGCGUACCUUUUGUAUAAUGGGUCAGCGACUUAUAUUCUGUAGCAAGGUUAACCGAAUAGGGGAGCCGGAGGNGUAAUAGCUCACUGGUCGAGUCGGCCUGCGCGGAAGAUGUAACGGGGCUAAACCAUGCACCGAAGCUGCGGCAGCGACGCUUAUGCGUUGUUGGGUAGGGGAGCGUUCUGUAAGCCUGUGAAGGUGGCCUGUGAGGGUUGCUGGAGGUAUCAGAAGUGCGAAUGCUNGUUGGGUAGGGGAGCGUUCUGUAAGCCUGUGAAGGUGGCCUGUGAGGGUUGCUGGAGGUAUCAGAAGUGCGAAUGCUGACAUAAGUAACGAUAAAGCGGGUGAAAAGCCCGCUCGCCGGAAGACCAAGGGUUCCUGUCCAACGUUAAUCGGGGCAGGGUGAGUCGACCCCUAAGGCGAGGCCGAAAGGCGUAGUCGAUGGGAAACGGGUUAAUAUUCCCGUACUUGGUGUUACUGCGAAGGGGGGACGGAGAAGGCUAUGUUGGCCGGGCGACGGUUGUCCCGGUUUAAGCGUGUAGGUGUGUGUUCCAGGUAAAUCCGGUUCACUUUAACACUGAGGCGUGACGACGAGGCACUACGGUGCUGAAGCAACAAAUGCCCUGCUUCCAGGAAAAGCCUCUAAGCAUCAGGUAACAUCAAAUCGUACCCCAAACCGACACAGGUGGUCAGGUAGAGAAUACCAAGGCGCUUGAGAGAACUCGGGUGAAGGAACUAGGCAAAAUGGUGCCGUAACUUCGGGAGAAGGCACGCUGACACGUAGGUGAAGUGAUUUACUCACGGAGCUGAAGUCAGUCGAAGAUACCAGCUGGCUGCAACUGUUUAUUAAAAACACAGCACUGUGCAAACACGAAAGUGGACGUAUACGGUGUGACGCCUGCCCGGUGCCGGAAGGUUAAUUGAUGGGGUCAGCGCAAGCGAAGCUCCUGAUCGAAGCCCCGGUAAACGGCGGCCGUAACUAUAACGGUCCUAAGGUAGCGAAAUUCCUUGUCGGGUAAGUUCCGACCUGCACGAAUGGCGUAAUGAUGGCCAGGCUGUCUCCACCCGAGACUCAGUGAAAUUGAACUCGCUGUGAAGAUGCAGUGUACCCGCGGCAAGACGGAAAGACCCCGUGAACCUUUACUAUAGCUUGACACUGAACAUUGAGCCUUGAUGUGUAGGAUAGGUGGGAGGCUUUGAAGUGUGGACGCCAGUCUGCAUGGAGCCGACCUUGAAAUACCACCCUUUAAUGUUUGAUGUUCUAACGUGGACCCGUAAUCCGGGUUGCGGACAGUGUCUGGUGGGUAGUUUGACUGGGGCGGUCUCCUCCUAAAGAGUAACGGAGGAGCACGAAGGUUGGCUAAUCCUGGUCGGACAUCAGGAGGUUAGUGCAAUGGCAUAAGCCAGCUUGACUGCGAGCGUGACGGCGCGAGCAGGUGCGAAAGCAGGUCAUAGUGAUCCGGUGGUUCUGAAUGGAAGGGCCAUCGCUCAACGGAUAAAAGGUACUCCGGGGAUAACAGGCUGAUACCGCCCAAGAGUUCAUAUCGACGGCGGUGUUUGGCACCUCGAUGUCGGCUCAUCACAUCCUGGGGCUGAAGUAGGUCCCAAGGGUAUGGCUGUUCGCCAUUUAAAGUGGUACGCGAGCUGGGUUUAGAACGUCGUGAGACAGUUCGGUCCCUAUCUGCCGUGGGCGCUGGAGAACUGAGGGGGGCUGCUCCUAGUACGAGAGGACCGGAGUGGACGCAUCACUGGUGUUCGGGUUGUCAUGCCAAUGGCACUGCCCGGUAGCUAAAUGCGGAAGAGAUAAGUGCUGAAAGCAUCUAAGCACGAAACUUGCCCCGAGAUGAGUUCUCCCUGAGACUUAGAGUCUCCUGAAGGAACGUUGAAGACGACGACGUUGAUAGGCCGGGUGUGUAAGCGCAGCGAUGCGUUGAGCUAACCGGUACUAAUGAACCGUGAGGCUUAACCUU